rnacentral:rRNA from 1 species
UACGAAGGGGGCUAGCGUUGCUCGGAAUGACUGGGCGUAAAGGGCGCGUAGGCGGCGUGUACAGUCAGACGUGAAAUUCCCGGGCUCAACCUGGGGGCUGCGUUUGAUACGUGCGUGCUUGAGUCCGGAAGAGGGUGGUGGAAUUCCCAGUGUAGAGGUGAAAUUCGUAGAUAUUGGGAAGAACACCGGUGGCGAAGGCGGCCACCUGGUCCGGUACUGACGCUGAGGCGCGAAAGCGUGGGGAG